UGGGGAAUAUUGCACAAUGGAGGAAACUCUGAUGCAGCGACGCCGCGUGAGUGAAGAAGUAGUUCGCUAUGUAAAGCUCUAUCAGCAGGGAAGAUAGUGACGGUACCUGACUAAGAAGCUCCGGCUAAAUACGUGCCAGCAGCCGCGGUAAUACGUAUGGAGCAAGCGUUAUCCGGAUUUACUGGGUGUAAAGGGAGUGUAGGUGGCCAGGCAAGUCAGAAGUGAAAGCCCGGGGCUCAACCCCGGGACUGCUUUUGAAACUGCAGGGCUAGAGUGCAGGAGGGGCAAGUGGAAUUCCUAGUGUAGCGGUGAAAUGCGUAGAUAUUAGGAGGAACACCAGUGGCGAAGGCGGCUUGCUGGACUGUAACUGACACUGAGGCUCGAAAGCGUGGGGAGCAAACAGG
rnacentral:rRNA from 2 species